rnacentral:rRNA from 1 species
GAUGAACGCUGGCGGCGUGCUUAACACAUGCAAGUCGAGCGGACAGGCCCUGCGCUUGCGGGGUGCUCGAGUGGCGAACGGGUGAGUAACACGCGAGUAACCUGCCCUUGUCUUUGGGAUAACAUCAGGAAACUGGGGCUAAUAUCGGAUAGGAGCUCCUGCUGCAUGGUGGGGGUUGGAAAGUGUCGGCGGUUGUGGAUGGACUGGCGGCUUAUCCGCUUGUUGGUGAGGUAGUGGUUGACAAGGGCUUUGACGGCUAGGCGGCAUGAGAGGGGGAACGGCCACAAUGGGACUGAGAGACGGACCAGUCUCCUACGGGAGGCAACAGUGGGGAAUAUUGCGGAAUGGGCGGAAGCGUGAUGCAGCAACGCCGCGUGCGGGAUGACGGCUUUCGGGUUAUAAACCGCUGUCGCCGGUGACGAAGCGGGAUUGACGGUAAUGGGUAAGAAAGCACCGGCUAACUACGUG